UACGUAGGGGGCAAGCGUUGUCCGGAUUUAUUGGGCGUAAAGAGCGUGUAGGCGGCCAUACAGGUCCGUUGUGAAAACUGGAGGCUCAACCUCCAGACGUCGACGGAAACCGUAUGGCUAGAGUCCGGAAGAGGAGAGUGGAAUUCCUGGUGUAGCGGUGAAAUGCGCAGAUAUCAGGAGGAACACCGGUGGCGAAGGCGGAUCUCUGGGCCUUACCUGACGCUGAUGAGCGAAAGCGUGGGGAGCGAACAGG
rnacentral:rRNA from 1 species